rnacentral:tRNA from 1 species
UCUAGGCCGACGGGCUUUGAUCCCGUAAAAUUCUAGUUAACAACUAGACACCCAAGCCAGCGGGCUUCAACUUA